rnacentral:misc_RNA from 1 species
GAAAUGCGAUACUUGGUGUGAACUGCAGAAUCCCGCGAACCAUCGAGUCUUUGAACGCAAGUUGCACCCGAAGCCAUUAGGUUGAGGGCACGUCUGCCUGGGCAUCUCACGUUGCGUCGCCCGCGCCCCCUCCCCCCCCUCCCCACGAAGGGGGAAAGAAGGGCUACGGGCGGAUGUUGGCCCCCCGCGUGCGCCCGCGCGCGGUCUGCCCAAAAGCGAGUCCCUCGCGACGGACGAAGCGUCGCGACGAGUGGUGGUUGACAAACAGUUGCGUCGCCUCGCGUGCGUCUGGUCCGUCUCGGGAGGCCUGUCGUGUCCCUAUCACGACGCCGCCAAGGCGCUCCGAUCGCGACCCCAGGUCAUGCGGGAUUACCCGCUGAGUUUAA